rnacentral:rRNA from 1 species
CGGAGAGGGAGCAUGAGAAACGGCUACCACAUCUAAGGAAGGCAGCAGGCGCGCAAAUUACCCAAUCCUGACACAGAGAGGUAGUGACAAGAAAUAACAAUACAGGGCAUUAAUGUCUUGUAAUUGGAAUGAAUUGAAUGUAAACCCCUUUAUGAGUAUCAAUUGGAGGGCAAGUCUGGUGCCAGCAGCCGCGGUAAUUCCAGCUCCAAUAGUGUAUAUUAAAGUUGUUGCGGUUAAAAAGCUUGUAGUUGGAUUUCUGCCAAGGCCGACCGGUCCGUCCUCUGGGUGAGUAUCUGGCUUGACUGGAGCAUCUUCAUGGAGAGCGUGGCUGCACUUCAUUGUGUGGUACGAAACCCAAGACAUUUACUUUGAGGAAAUUAGAGUGUUUCAAGCAGGCUCAUGCCUUGAAUACAUUAGCAUGGAAUAAUAAGAUAGGGCCCUGGUUGUAUUUUGUUGGUUUCUAGAACUGAGGUAAUGAUGAACAGAGACACUUGGGGGCAUACGAAUUUAACUGUCAGAGGUGAAAUUCUUGGAUUUGUUAAAGACGGACUACUGUGAAAGCAUUUGCCAAGAAUGUUUUCAUUGAUCAAGAAUGAAAGUUAGGGGGUCGAAGAUGAUCAGAUACCGUCUUAGUCUUAACCAUAAACUAUGCCGACUAGAGAUUGGAGGUUGCUAUCUUUACGACUCCUUCAGCACCUUAUGGGAAAUCAAAGUCUUUGGGUUCCGGGGGGAGUAUGGUUGCAAGGCUGAAACUUAAAGGAAUUGACGGAAGGGCACCACCAGAAGUGGAGCCUGCGGCUUAAUUUGACUCAACACGGGGAAACUUACCAGGUCCAGACAUAGUAAGGAUUGACAGAUUGAUAGCUCCUUCUUGAUUCUGUGGGUGGUGGUGCAUGGCCGUUCUUAGUUGGUGGAGUGAUUUGUCUGGUUAAUUCCGUUAACGAACGAGACCUUAUCCUGCUAAAUAGAUUCGUGUAGCCAUGGUUAUGUGGGGAACUUCUUAGAGGAACUUUGUGUGUCUAAUGCAAGGAAGUUUGAGGCAAUAACAGGUCUGUGAUGCCCUUAGAUGUUCUGGGCUGCACGCGCGCUACACUGAUGAGCUCAACGAGUGUGCAACUUUGCCUGAAAGGGUGGGGUAAUCUUUUUAAAACGCAUCAUGAUGGGGAUCGAUUAUUGCAAUUAUUAGUCUUCAACAAGGAAUUCCUAGUAAGUAUGAGUCAUCAACUUGUGCUGAUUACGUCCCUGCCCUUUGUACACACCGCCCGUCGCUCCUACUGAUUGAGUGAUCCGGUGAAUAUUUUGGACUGCAGCAAAGCUCAGCUCCUGAGUUUUGCAGCAUAAAGUUUAGUGAACCUUAUCACUUAGAGGAAGGAGAAGUCGUAACAAGGUAACC